GCUGCAGCAGACCGCAGGGCUGUGGCCACCCACGCCGUCGCCAUGACGACAACCAAACCCACUCGUCCCCCCACCCACAGGGUCAUGAACAACUGAAUCAGGAGAGGCUCAGUGCACCUGGCUGACAGCAGCAGUGGGAACUGCAGUUCUGGCUCAUCCUCUAGUGCGUGCUUCUGGGCACCAGGCCCUCAGCCUCUCUCUGCGGUGCUUCUGGGCACCAGGCCUCUCUCUGUGGUUUCUCCUGUGACUUUUCACUUGUCAAGAUCUCUUCCCAAAACAGCUGGAUUAUUUUUCUUCUUA